rnacentral:rRNA from 1 species
GAUGAACGCUGGCGGCGUGCCUAAUACAUGCAAGUCGAGCGAACGGACGAGAAGCUUGCUUCUCUGAUGUUAGCGGCGGACGGGUGAGUAACACGUGGAUAACCUACCUAUAAGACUGGGAUAACUUCGGGAAACCGGAGCUAAUACCGGAUAAUAUUUUGAACCGCAUGGUUCAAAAGUGAAAGACGGUCUUGCUGUCACUUAUAGAUGGAUCCGCGCUGCAUUAGCUAGUUGGUAAGGUAACGGCUUACCAAGGCAACGAUGCAUAGCCGACCUGAGAGGGUGAUCGGCCACACUGGAACUGAGACACGGUCCAGACUCCUACGGGAGGCAGCAGUAGGGAAUCUUCCGCAAUGGGCGAAAGCCUGACGGAGCAACGCCGCGUGAGUGAUGAAGGUCUUCGGAUCGUAAAACUCUGUUAUUAGGGAAGAACAUAUGUGUAAGUAACUGUGCACAUCUUGACGGUACCUAGUCAGAAAGCCACGGCUAACUCCGUG